AAUCAGAAUGUUAUUUUCUACAUUUAUAUAAAUGAACAAAAUAACAAUUCUGUUCUUUGUGUAUGCUGUAUAGAUACAGAUGUGAAAAGCUUUGAGGUAAACUUGUGAUUUGUGAUAAAUAAAUAAACCUGACUCGACUUUAAACAGUUGCAGAUAAGAGACAGAAAUGUGUGAACAGAAGGAGGAGGAGGAAGCGUCAGGGGACAAAGUUCAGUGUUGUGGUGACAGAAGGUGUUACAAAAGAAAAAAAAAGGAGGGCUAAAGCUAAAGAGAACAUGAAGGAUGCUCAGCUAAACUUCCCACAGAGGUUGGAAGGUGGAGAUGGGAAAAAUGAUGUCCGGAGAUUUGCAGAGGGAAUGAGAGGUAAUGGAGGGAGCUGGAGUGCUGCAGGGAUCCAGGAGCCAAGAGAGUGAGUGGAGCGCCACGCCCACACACACACACACGCGCGCACACACACACACAAACCAACAUCCGUUUCCUUUCAUUUGAUCAGUUAUUUGUUAUCAAAAAGUGAUC